CACGGUCCCGCAUGGGACAGUGUGAAAAACUCCGGUGGUACAAGAUGGAUCCGCGUCUGAUUAGCCAGUUGGCGGGGUAACGGCCCACCAAAGCGACGAUCAGUAGCCGGCCUGAGAGGGUGAACGGCCACAUUGGGACUGAGACACGGCCCAAACUCCUACGGGAGGCAGCAGUGGGGAAUAUUGCACAAUGGGGGAAACCCUGAUGCAGCAACGCCGCGUGAGUGAAGAAGUAAUUCGUUAUGUAAAGCUCUAUCAGCAGGGAAGAAAAUGACGGUACCUGAGUAAGCAGCCCCGGCUAACUACGUGCCAGCAGCCGCGGUAAUACGUAGGGGGCAAGCGUUAUCCGGAUUUACUGGGUGUAAAGGGAGCGUAGACGGUAAAGCAAGUCUGAAGUGAAAUGCCAGUGCUCAACACUGGAACUGCUUUGGAAACUGUUUGGCUGGAGUGCAGGAGAGGUAAGUGGAAUUCCUAGUGUAGCGGUGAAAUGCGUAGAUAUUAGGAGGAACACCAGUGGCGAAGGCGGCUUACUGGACUGUAACUGACGUUGAGGCUCGAAAGCGUGGGGAGCAAACAGGAUUAGAUACCCUGGUAGUCCACGCGGUAAACGAU
rnacentral:rRNA from 1 species